ACKGCUCAGUAACACGUGGAUAACCUACCCUGGGAUGGGGGAUAAUCUCGGAAAACUGAGGAUAAUACCCCAUAGGUCUGGGAGGCUGGAACGCAUCCAGACUGAAAACUCCGGUGUCCCAGGAUGGGUCUGCGGCCUAUCAGGUUGUAGUGAGUGUAAAGGACUCACUAGCCGACAACGGGUACGGGCCAUGGGAGUGGUAGCCCGGAGAUGGAUUCUGAGACACGAAUCCAGGCCCUACGGGGCGCAGCAGGCGCGAAAACUUCGCAAUGUGCGCAAGCGCGACGAGGGGAUUCCAAGUGCAUGCACUCAGUGUAUGCUGUUUUCCAGUCUAAAUAGCUGGGAGAGUAAGGGCUGGGUAAGACCGGUGCCAGCCGCCGCGGUAACACCGGCGGCUCGAGUGGUAACCGUUAUUAUUGGGUCUAAAGGGUCUGUAGCCGGCCGGAUAAGUCUCUUGGGAAAUCUGGCAGCUUAACUGUCAGGCUUUCAGGAGAUACUGUCUGGCUCGAGGCCGGGAGAGGUGAGAGGUACUUCAGGGGUAGGGGUGAAAUCUUGUAAUCCUUGAAGGACCACCAGUGGCGAAGGCGUCUCACCAGAACGGACCUGACGGCAAGGGACGAAAGCUAGGGGCACGAACCGGAUUAGAUACCCGGGUAGUCCUAGCCGUAAACGAUACUCGCUAGGUGUCGGCCACGGUGCGACCGUUGUCGGUGCCGUAGGGAAGCCGUGAAGCGAGCCACCUGGGAAGUACGGCCGCAAGGCUGAAACUUAAAGGAAUUGGCGGGGGAGCAC
rnacentral:rRNA from 1 species